UUGCUUCUCUUGAGAGCGGCGGACGGGUGAGUAAUGCCUAGGAAUCUGCCUGGUAGUGGGGGAUAACGUUCGGAAACGGACGCUAAUACCGCAUACGUCCUACGGGAGAAAGCAGGGGACCUUCGGGCCUUGCGCUAUCAGAUGAGCCUAGGUCGGAUUAGCUAGUUGGUGGGGUAAUGGCUCACCAAGGCGACGAUCCGUAACUGGUCUGAGAGGAUGAUCAGUCACACUGGAACUGAGACACGGUCCAGACUCCUACGGGAGGCAGCAGUGGGGAAUAUUGGACAAUGGGCGAAAGCCUGAUCCAGCCAUGCCGCGUGUGUGAAGAAGGUCUUCGGAUUGUAAAGCACUUUAAGUUGGGAGGAAGGGCAGUAAAUUAAUACUUUGCUGUUUUGACGUUACCGACAGAAUAAGCACCGGCUAACUCUGUGCCAGCAGCCGCGGUAAUACAGAGGGUGCAAGCGUUAAUCGGAAUUACUGGGCGUAAAGCGCGCGUAGGUGGUUCGUUAAGUUGGAUGUGAAAUCCCCGGGCUCAACCUGGGAACUGCAUUCAAAACUGACGAGCUAGAGUAUGGUAGAGGGUGGUGGAAUUUCCUGUGUAGCGGUGAAAUGCGUAGAUAUAGGAAGGAACACCA
rnacentral:rRNA from 1 species